UACGUAGGUGGCAAGCGAUACUCGGAAUCACUAGGCGUAAAGCGCAGGUAGGUGGUUUGAUAAGUCUUUUGUGAAAGCUCCCGGCUCAACUGGGAGAGGUCAAGGGAAACUGUCAGACUAGAGUUUGGUAGGGGAUACUGGAAUUCCUGGUGUAGCGGUGAAAUGCGUAGAUAUCAGGAGGAAUACCUAUGGCGAAAGCAGGUAUCUGGGCCACAACUGACACUGAGCUGCGAAAGCUAGGGGAGCAAACAGG
rnacentral:rRNA from 1 species